CCCUUAGAUGUCCUGGGCCGCACGCGCGCUACACUGAGUGUCUGAGAUACGAGUCUGCCUGGUCCGGCAAGGUCUAGGUAAUCGCUAAAAGACACAUCAUGCUUGGGAUAGAUUAUUGCAAAUAUUAAUCUUGAACGAGGAAUUCCUAGUAAGCGCAAGUCAACAGCUUGCGUUGAUUACGUCCCUGCCCUUUGUACACACCGCCCGUCGCUACUACUGAUGGGAUGUUUAAGCGAGGUUCUCGAACUGCUAGCGACUUAGCUUCGGUGAGGUCGCAGUGUGGGAAGUGAACCUAGCUUUGGUGUCUAGAGGAAGUAAAAGUCGUAACA
rnacentral:rRNA from 1 species